UUAUAACUUAGUUGUCAUUUCACUUGUAGGUAACCCCUUGCUUUUUGUUAGGCCACAGUAAAAAGAUCAGAUACAGAGUGAUCCUCAGGUAGGUGGGAGGGGGAGGAAGAGUUUGCAUUCUCUUCCUCGUUUCUUUUUAAGAAAAGUGCCGUUCCAAUGCGGGGGAGCGAGUAGGGCAGCCCGGGAGAAGGAGGAACAAACAGGUCUAGGGCUGGCGCGCAGACCAGGUGAGAAGCCAGUAGGACUGUCCCCUUCUGAGGCUACGGAAGAAACAAAUGAAGAGGAAGGCCAUGACUGCUCCUAGGAAUGUGGAGCCCCUGGAGGCUGGAGUUAUAAGCAGUUGAGAGCUGCUUGACACAGUUGCUGGCAACCAACCUUGAGUCCCCUUCAAGAGAAAUAAGUGGCCUUGACCGCUGAGCCAUGUCUCCAGUGCCUGGACUCGACUUUGGAAACAUUUUAAUUGCUAAUUUAGUGCAGUGGCACAAACAAUGGAUCUCCUGUACAGGAGAUGCGAUGAGGGACUCCCAAUGGGAAGAAUGAUCCUGAAAACAGGACGAAAGACGGAGGGCUACACAGACAUGGACUUCAAGGAAGGAUGCAAAGAUGACUUCAGUUAGCAAGCUGGAGAGGAUUGAAUUAAAACGACUAUUUAUGCGUUAGUGUUGUGGCAUCUGGCAGAUAGACUUAAAAAGUUUUGGGUACAUGGGAAUAAGAAGACUUCAUUCUAAGAGAGCUAGAGAAAACUUCAGGGAAGAGAUGGCAUCUGAGCUAAUGCUUGAAGUGUGGGCAAGACCCUGACAAAUGAGAGAGAAGAAGAGUAGUGGAGAAGCACAAAAUAAAAGUGCCCACAGUGGUCAAGAUGAAAGUGCGGCUCUUCCGCAGAAUUACGGUUCAACUCUCAGCACCCACAUAGCAGCUCACAACUAUAUAUAACUCCAGUUACAGGUGAUCCAACUGAAGAUCUGAGGAUCUUGGCCUCCAGUGGUGACAGUUGUCCAUGCAGUACAUAGACAUACAUACUUAAUAAAAAUAACUAAAGAGAAGAAGAUGUUAUUAUUGUUGUUGAUGAUGAUGGUGGUAAUGGCGACGUAUGUGUGUGUAUACUCUGUGGGUAUGUGUGAAGGCAAGAGAAUAGUCUUUGAGGUCAUUCCUCAGAUAUAAUCAACAUUCUUUUUAAGACAGGGUCUCUCACUGGUCUUGAGUUUAUCAAUAGGCUAGGCUGGCUGCUGGACUGGUGGUCUGAGAGAUCUAUGUAUCUCUGCCUCUCAAGCUCUGGCUGGGAAUUCAAGGGCACCAUACCUAGCUUUUAAAAAUGCAGGUUCUAGGGAUGCAAUUCAGGUCCCCAUGCUUGAAGACACAUU